AUACGUAUGUCGCAAGCGUUAUCCGGAUUUAUUGGGCGUAAAGCGCGUCUAGGCGGCUUAGUAAGUCUGAUGUGAAAAUGCGGGGCUCAACCCCGUAUUGCGUUGGAAACUGCUAAACUAGAGUACUGGAGAGGUAGGCGGAACUACAAGUGUAGAGGUGAAAUUCGUAGAUAUCUGUAGGAAUGCCGAUGGGGAAGCCAGCCUACUGGACAGAUACUGACGCUAAAGCGCGAAAGCGUGGGUAGCAAACAGGAUUAGAUACCCUGGUAGUCCACGCCGUAAACGAUGAUUACUAGGUGUUGGGGGUCGAACCUCAGCGCCCAAGCUAACGCGGUAAGUAAUCCGCCUGGGGAGUACGUACGCAAGUAUGAAACUCAAAUGAAUUGACGGGG
rnacentral:rRNA from 1 species